ACAGCCGUCGUAUACCGCGGUCGUGGUAUACAAAUACGUAACGUCCCUGUUGUGGUGGAAAGCGCGCGUAACCGUGACCGCUACCGUCACCUAUACACUGUCACCUCACCGCGCUUCAAAGACCGAAGACGACAAUUUACCGCGUCCGCGAGUUGUUUUCUUCCUGCACGAGGGUACCCGCUUAAUAAUACUGAACGGGGGAGG